UCCUACGGGGGGCAGCAGUGGGGAAUAUUGGGCAAUGGGCGCAAGCCUGACCCAGCAACGCCGCGUGAAGGAAGAAGGCUCUCGGGUUGUAAACUUCUUUUCUCAGGGACGAAGCAAGGGACGGUACCUGAUGAAUAAGCCACGGCUAAAUACGUGCAAGAAGCAGCGGUAAUACGUAGGUGGCAAGCGUUAUCCGGAUUUACUGGGUGUAAAGGGCGUGUAGGCGGGAAAGCAAGUCAGAUGUGAAAAACA
rnacentral:rRNA from 1 species